GGGUAGUGUGGUCAAAGAUGACUUCUGCAGAUAAAAACAUCAUCUUGUAUGCAAGGGCGUGGUGAAAACCUCUGCUACCAUACUGGAUACAAGGUCUUUAACUUCUCAGCACCAGUUUUAUGGAGCCCCCACCGCUAAGCAAGUAUGCAAAAUGCAGUGCUGCUUCGCAUUGGGAAAUCCCCAAUCUGGUGCCAAGAGGUUCAUAAAUACAGUAAUGGACCCUCUUAUGUCAAAAGUGAGUACUGUUUAACAGCGUAAGUUGGAACAGCCUUCAGGAUGCUUUGCAGCUGCAGUUGUUCCACUGCAAGACAUCACAAACUUCAUGAUGAUGGUUGUCACACCAGGUCCUGGAAAGGCAACCUACUUCAGUCUGCAAAGUGAACUAAAAGGGAAUGGUUGUUCAUACAUGGCCCUGAUGCCACUGACAUAAGAAACGCAAUGACAAGAGCGAUGAAGUAGGAAUUUGGUGGCAGAUGGUCAGGUCUGCAGGAAGUGUCCACCCAGCUUUGUUUGGCCCAUAUUCUGAAACAACUAGAAUAAACACUUAGUGUCAUAAUUUAUAAGCAUAUCAGUACCAAUAAAUCAGA
rnacentral:lncRNA from 1 species